CUGCCUGUAAGACUGGGAUAACUCCGGGAAACCGGGGCUAAUACCGGAUAAUUCUUUCCCUCACAUGAGGGAAAGCUGAAAGAUGGUUUCGGCUAUCACUUACAGAUGGGCCCGCGGCGCAUUAGCUAGUUGGUGAGGUAACGGCUCACCAAGGCAACGAUGCGUAGCCGACCUGAGAGGGUGAUCGGCCACACUGGGACUGAGACACGGCCCAGACUCCUACGGGAGGCAGCAGUAGGGAAUCUUCCGCAAUGGACGAAAGUCUGACGGAGCAACGCCGCGUGAGUGAUGAAGGUUUUCGGAUCGUAAAACUCUGUUGUUAGGGAAGAACAAGUACCGGAGUAACUGCCGGUACCUUGACGGUACCUAACCAGAAAGCCACGGCUAACUACGUGCCAGCAGCCGCGGUAAUACGUAGGUGGCAAGCGUUGUCCGGAAUUAUUGGGCGUAAAGCGCGCGCAGGCGGUUCCUUAAGUCUGAUGUGAAAGCCCCCGGCUCAACCGGGGAGGGUCAUUGGAAACUGGGGAACUUGAGUGCAGAAGAGAAGAGUGGAAUUCCACGUGUAGCGGUGAAAUGCGUAGAGAUGUGGAGGAACACCAG
rnacentral:rRNA from 1 species